CUCUCCUCCUAUGCCCUCAAGCCCAAAGUACAAAAUAACCCCGAACUCUGGAUUUCCUCCGACCAGGUGGUAAACAAGCGAUUGCGCUUUUCCUCCUCAACGCUCCGCUGGCUCCCCCGGUUCCAGUUCCCCUCCAGGUACAAGAAAGCUAAUCAAUCGCGGAACUGAUUCGUUCCACGAUUACAAGUGAAACAGAUUUUCUGGAGGGAAGAGUGACUUCACUACUAUUUGCCUAAUUCAUGAUGCAUGAAGAUGAGAGUUAUUUGAGAAAUUCUUAUGGAGGAAGCCAACAGAGACAGCGCAAGUAUUUGACAUAACUGGUUGGAAGCCUGUGGAGAGAAGGGGAGCAGAGCAGGGAAAUCUCCCUGACAGAGUUAUCCCUGACAGAGCGUCCUGACCAAGGAUCUAAGGCAGUCUUUGUUCCUGUGAUUUUCCUGCUGCUUUCCUUCCUGAGCACAAUAAGUUCAAGAUGGCUAAUGCUGUUGUCUGGUUAUGCCAAGAACUUCCUAAGUGCCACUGGGCUUUCAUCAUGAAGACGGAUGGCAAAACCAUCAAAGAAGCUGCUAAAAUUGAACAGCUGUAGAAGUGAAGGCAGAUAACUGAAACAGAGAAGUUCUGUGGAAGGCAGAAGAACACUCACAGACAGACUGAAUGUGAAAUCGAUCCCUCGGUUUGUUCAUAACAAUGAGAAAGAGAUUUCACAUAAUUCUGCUCAAUAUA